UGGGGAAUAUUGGACAAUGGGCGAAAGCCUGAUCCAGCCAUGCCGCGUGUGUGAAGAAGGUCUUCGGAUUGUAAAGCACUUUAAGUUGGGAGGAAGGGUUGUAGAUUAAUACUCUGCAAUUUUGACGUUACCGACAGAAUAAGCACCGGCUAACUCUGUGCCAGCAGCCGCGGUAAUACAGAGGGUGCAAGCGUUAAUCGGAAUUACUGGGCGUAAAGCGCGCGUAGGUGGUUUGUUAAGUUGGAUGUGAAAUCCCCGGGCUCAACCUGGGAAUGCCACUCAAAACUGUUCAUCUAGAGUAUGGUAGAGGGAAGUGGAAUUUCAGGUGUAGCGGUGAAAUGCGUAGAUAUCUGAAGGAACACCAGUGGCGAAGGCGGCUUCCUGGACCAAUACUGACACUGAGACGCGAAAGCGUGGGGAGCAAACAGGAUUAGAUACCCAAGUAGUCCCUGAGCGGGCUGGCAAGGCGCAU
rnacentral:rRNA from 1 species